rnacentral:misc_RNA from 1 species
GAUGAAGAACGCAGCGAAAUGCGAUAAGUAAUGUGAAUUGCAGAAUUCAGUGAAUCAUCGAAUCUUUGAACGCACAUUGCGCCCGCCAGUAUUCUGGCGGGCAUGCCUGUCCGAGCGUCAUUACAACCCUCAGGCCCCCGGGCCUGGCGUUGGGGAUCGGCGGAAGCCCCCUGCGGGCACAACGCCGUCCCCCAAAUACAGUGGCGGUCCCGCCGCAGCUUCCAUUGCGUAGUAGCUAACACCUCGCAACUGGAGAGCGGCGCGGCCACGCCGUAAAACACCCAACUUCUGAAUGUUGACCUCGAAUCAGGUAGGAAUACCCGCUGAACUUAAGCAUAUCAAUAAGCGGAGGA